CAAAAGGCCUUUUUCAAGGCCACCACAUGAUACAAGAAAAGCUAUA
rfam:Lingula anatina scaffold1528, whole genome shotgun sequence.